rnacentral:miRNA from 1 species
GAUUUGUUUCGGCAGCUUUUGG